AGAGUUUGAUCAUGGCUCAGGACGAACGCUGGCGGCGUGCUUAACACAUGCAAGUCGAACGGAAAGGCCCUUCGGGGUACUCGAGUGGCGAACGGGUGAGUAACACGUGGGUGAUCUGCCCUGCACUUUGGGAUAAGCCUGGGAAACUGGGUCUAAUACCGAAUAUGAUCACGGGCUUCAUGGUCUGUGGUGGAAAGCUUUUGCGGUGUGGGAUGGGCCCGCGGCCUAUCAGCUUGUUGGUGGGGUAAUGGCCUACCAAGGCGACGACGGGUAGCCGGCCUGAGAGGGUGACCGGCCACACUGGGACUGAGAUACGGCCCAGACUCCUACGGGAGGCAGCAGUGGGGAAUAUUGCACAAUGGGCGCAAGCCUGAUGCAGCGACGCCGCGUGAGGGAUGACGGCCUUCGGGUUGUAAACCUCUUUCAAUAGGGACGAAGCGCAAGUGACGGUACCUAUAGAAGAAGGACCGGCCAACUACGUGCCAGCAGCCGCGGUA
rnacentral:rRNA from 1 species